rnacentral:lncRNA from 1 species
GUUAACCGAGACAACAUUCAAGACUUUGGAUUGGAUGGCACGAACACUAUGCUUCACCCUCCCUUUUUCAAUGCUUGCUUAUCCUUUUUACAUGUUGGCAGCAUCUGUUGAAGUUUUAAGGAAGGCGCAGUUGUGAUUGAAAAAUAGGGAAGCUUUGUGAAAUGUGAACGAGCCAUAUUGCAAUUUUAUGGGAAGAGGCGACCAUGGUGGUGGAGGU